rnacentral:rRNA from 1 species
UACGUAGGGGGCAAGCGUUGUCCGGAUUUAUUGGGCGUAAAGAGCGUGUAGGCGGUUAGGUAGGUCCGUUGUGAAAACUCGAGGCUCAACCUCGAGACGCCAAUGGAAACCAUCUGACUAGAGUCCGGAAGAGGAGAGUGGAAUUCCUGGUGUAGCGGUGAAAUGCGCAGAUAUCAGGAAGAACACCCGUGGCUAAGGCGGCUCUCUAGUACGUGACUGACGCUGAGACGCGAAAGCGUGGGGAGCGAACAGG